UACGAGGGGGCAAGCGUUGUUCGGAAUUAUUGGGCGUAAAGGGUGCGUAGGCGGUUUGACAAGUCUUGUGUGAAAUCUAUGGGCUCAACCCAUAGUCUGCACGGAACUGUCGGCUUGAGUAUUGGAGAGGUGAGUGGAAUUCCGGUGUAGCGGUGAAAUGCGUAGAUAUCGGAAGAACACCUGUGGCGAAAGCGGACUCA
rnacentral:rRNA from 1 species